CUGCUGGGGCAGGGCGGGGCGCUGCUGCCCCCUGCCGGCCCUGGUGGGCACCUGGCCGAGCAGGUGAGGGCGGGCGGGCCCUGGGGCUGGGGCCGGCGCCUUCCCGCUCCCAGGGUCUCGGGCCUCGGGACGGAGCCACCUGCCGCGGCCCCACUGCCGGAGGAGCCCAUCUCUGGGGGACACCCCCCACCUCUGGAGGGCGCCAAGGCGGGGAGCCUAGUCUCCGGGACAGUGAAGCUGACCUUGAACCACACACUUCUGCUCCUGCUGAUGCCUUCCUGACAAGCAGGGCGCUCUCCGUGUGCGUUAACCCCUUCGCUCCCUCUGAUGAGCCCGGAGGGGGUACAGUUAUUUCCUCCAGUUCACAAGCGGGGAAACGGAGGCACGGGAGGUUAGGAAGCUGCAUGGCCAGUUGGUGGCCAGGCCGAGAGUCCACCGCAGGGCCCCUGUACUUCACCAUCGGGCCACGUGGUCCCGAGCUCUGAACCAAGUGGAGAGGGCCUGCGGGUGACACGCGCACGGGGGUUUCCCCCUGCCCGGAGCACAGGCGUGCUCGAGGUGGGUGCAGAGGUGAGCAAAUGAGGGAGGACCUGGACUUACGUACGUCACCACGACCUUGUAAAUAGCUGUGAAUUUGGACAAGUGUAAGCCGGUGGCCCUGGGUGGAGAACGUGGGGGAGUGUGGAGCAGUGGUGGCUGUGGGCAUGGAGAGAGGGGGGCGCGUGGCAGAUACACUGGAGGGGACGGAAUCCUAGAGGCCUGGUGUUGGAUGGGUGGGGGCAGUGGAUGGAGGAGAAUCCAGGGGACCCCGGGCCCUUUCUGCUGGAGCGUUGCUCCCUUCAGGGCAGGGGUGCCAGCGGAGAGGGGUGGGCAGUGUGGGGAGGGACGGGCGGACUGAGGGCUCCGUGAGCAAGAGGAGCCGGCCAGGGGAGUCGUUGGGGUCUGAGUGUGAGAAGCUCAGCACGAGGUGACUGGAGCACUGGGAUGGGGUGGGAACUCGGAGGGGAGAUCGGGGUGCCCCGGGAAGCGGGCGACCCAGAGCCCAAAGGCCCGGCAGAUGUGGAUGUGACUGCCUCCAGCCAUGCACCCUCCAAGGGGGAAGACCAGGUGGCCGAGAGGGGGCCAAGGGAAGGAUCUAGAAGCUCCAGGCGGGGCAGGCUGUUGGGGAGGGCCGAGGAGGGGCUGGCUCUGACCCAUAGGAUGGGAAGGACUGCCCUCAGCAACCCCGUAGACAGCUGGCCCUCUCUCCCCAAACCUUUCUCCGUCCACACCUAACACCCACGUGUGUCCUCGGUGACGUCAGGAAAGACAGCUUCUGGCUCAGCGGUGGGAACAGCUUUCCUACCUCUCCACGGAAGAAAAGAAACCUGCCCUCACUCCACCCGGUUUUUAACAGAAAGGGAGUCGAGCUGGAGGAUUCGGGCGGUGACCCCGGCCCCUUGCCACUGCCUUGCCCGCGUCCCCGGAAGGGCUGGGGGGCGGCCUCCGCCAUCCGUCGGGGCGCCCCGUGCUGCCGCGCCCAGCGUCUGGCUGACGGGUUCUGUGUACAGUGUGGGCACCAGUGUCCGAUCUGUUGCGUCUUCUCCGGGCCUGUGACUUGUCUUCUCAGAUUGCCAGUGGCAUCGUUGGAGAGAGAGAGAGAUCAUACAAGCAGGGGGAACAGCAGGCAGAGA